UGGGGAAUAUUGGACAAUGGGGGCAACCCUGAUCCAGCCAUGCCGCGUGAGUGAUGAAGGCCCUAGGGUUGUAAAGCUCUUUUAACGGGGAAGAUAAUGACGGUACCCGUAGAAUAAGCCCCGGCUAACUUCGUGCCAGCAGCCGCGGUAAUACGAAGGGGGCUAGCGUUGCUCGGAAUCACUGGGCGUAAAGGGUGCGUAGGUGGAUAUUUAAGUCAGGGGUGAAAUCCUGGAGCUCAACUCCAGAACUGCCUUUGAUACUGAGUAUCUUGAGUUCGAGAGAGGUGAGUGGAACUGCGAGUGUAGAGGUGAAAUUCGUAGAUAUUCGCAAGAACACCAGUGGCGAAGGCGGCUCACUGGCUCGAUACUGACACUGAGGCACGAAAGCGUGGGGAGCAAACAGGAUUAGAUACCCCCGUAGUCC
rnacentral:rRNA from 1 species